rnacentral:rRNA from 1 species
AACGCACGCUGGCGGCAUGCCUAACACAUGCAAGUCGAACGAGACCUUCGGGUCUAGUGGCGCACGGGUGCGUAACGCGUGGGAACCUGCCCUUAGGUUCGGAAUAACUCCCCGAAAGGGGUGCUAAUACCGGAUAAUGUCUUCGGACCAAAGAUUUAUCGCCUUUGGAUGGGCCCGCGUUGGAUUAGCUAGUUGGUAGGGUAAAAGCCUACCAAGGCGACGAUCCAUAGCUGGUCUGAGAGGAUGAUCAGCCACACUGGGACUGAGACACGGCCCAGACUCCUACGGGAGGCAGCAGUGGGGAAUAUUGGACAAUGGGCGAAAGCCUGAACCAGCAAUGCCGCGUGAGUGAUGAAGGCCUUAGGGUUGUAAAGCUCUUUUACCCGGGAUGAUAAUGACAGUACCGGGAGAAUAAGCGCCGGCUAACUCCGUG